UAACGGAUGCGGUUGAGGAUGUGA
rnacentral:sRNA from 1 species